rnacentral:rRNA from 1 species
GAUGAACGCUGGCGGCGUGCCUAAUACAUGCAAGUCGAGCGAACAUACGAGGAGCUUGCUCCUCUGACGUUAGCGGCGGGCGGGGGAGUAACACGUGGAUAACCGACCGAUAAGUCUGGGAUAACUUCGGGAAACCGGAGCUAAUACCGGAUAAUAUAGUGAACCGCAUGGUUCAAUAGUGAAAGACGGUUUUGCUGGCACUUGUAUGUGGAUCCGCGCCGCAUUAGCUAGUUGGUAAGGUAACGGCUUACCAAGGCAACGAUGCGUAGCCGACCUGAGAGGGUGAUCGGCCACACUGGAACUGAGACACGGUCCAGACUCCUACGGGAGGCAGCAGUAGGGAAUCUUCCGCAAUGGGCGAAAGCCUGACGGAGCAACGCCGCGUGAGUGAUGAAGGUCUUCGGAUCGUAAAACUCUGUUAUUAGGGAAGAACAAAUGUGUAAGUAACUAUGCACGUCUUGACGGUACCUAAUCAGAAAGCCACGGCUAACUACGUG